AGCAGCCGCGGUAAUUCCAGCUCCAAUAGCGUAUAUUAAAGUUGUUGCAGUUAAAAAGCUCGUAGUUGAACUUCAGGCCUGUCCAGAUGGUCCGCCUUAAUUGGUGUGUACUGUCCUUGGGUGGGUCCUACCUUCUGGCGAAGCGGCAUGGCCUUAAUUGGUUGUGUCGGGGAACCAGGACUUUUACUGUGAAAAAAUUAGAGUGUUCAAAGCAGGCAUAAUAUGCUCGAAUACAUUAGCAUGGAAUAAUGGAAUAGGACGAUGGUUCUAUUUUGUUGGUUCUAGGACCGUUGUAAUGAUUAAUAGGGAUAGUUGGGGGCAUUAGUAUUCAAUUGUCAGAGGUGAAAUUCUUGGAUUUAUUGAAGACUAACUACUGCGAAAGCAUUUGCCAAGGAUGUUUUCAUUAAUCAAGAACGAAAGUUAGGGGAUCGAAGACGAUCAGAUACCGUCGUAGUCUUAACCAUAAACUAUGCCGACUAGGAAUCGGGCGAUGUUGACAAAAUGACUCGCUCGGCACCUCAUG
rnacentral:rRNA from 1 species